rnacentral:rRNA from 1 species
UACGUAGGGUGCAAGCGUUAAUCGGAAUUACUGGGCGUAAAGCGUGCGCAGGCGGUUGUUCAAGACCGAUGUGAAAUCCCCGGGCUCAACCUGGGAAUGGCAUUGGUGACUGCACGGCUAGAGUGUGUCAGAGGGGGGUAGAAUUCCACGUGUAGCAGUGAAAUGCGUAGAGAUGUGGAGGAAUACCGAUGGCGAAGGCAGCCCCCUGGGAUAACACUGACGCUCAUGCACGAAAGCGUGGGGAGCAAACAGG